AGUUGAUUCCUCUGUUUUCUCAUCUGGGUUUUCAAGAGAUGGAAUAGAUUAGGAGGAUUUAAGGGUGAAAAAAGAUGGCUUGGGAGAACCCAUUUAAGGAAAUGGCGAAUUCCAAGCCAUUGUUCUUGACGAUCUAUGCUACUGUCGUGAUCGGAAUUGUUUUCUCUUCGGUUUAUGUCUUUUCAGCUAUUUACUCUUCUCCUAAUUCCACCUUUUCCCUUUCCAUUGCUCCUUCCGCUUCUUCAGAUGAAAAAGCAGAACCUUCAGUUCAAGCAUCAAACUUUUCUCAUCGACAAGUAGAUGAUGUUUCAAUCCCAGUGAAACCCCAGCUUCAAAGAAAAUUAUUGAAGCCAAUUUGGGAAGUCCCCCCAGCGGGUUCAAAGAUGCCAGAUUUAGAAACUUUCAAAUUAUCAAAAGAACUGGUGCAGGAAAGAGUUAUAGACAAUAUUGUAAUUGUGACCUUUGGUAACUAUGCAUUCAUGGAUUUUAUCUUGACGUGGGUUAAACAUUUGACAGAUAUGGGUGUUGAGAACCUUCUAGUCGGUGCUAUGGACACGAAGCUAUUAGAGGCACUUUAUUGGAAAGGAGUGCCAGCUUUUGAUAUGGGUAGCCAUAUGAGCACUGUAGAUGUUGGAUGGGGUUCACCAACAUUUCACAAAAUGGGGAGAGAGAAAGUUGUACUCAUAGAUUCUAUCUUACCUUAUGGCUUUGAACUCCUAAUGUGUGAUACCGAUAUGGUGUGGUUAAAGAACCCUCUUCCUUAUAUAGCACGUUUCCCUGAAGCAGAUGUAUUGACCUCCACCGAUCAAGUUGUACCAACAGUUACCGAUGACAGAUUGGACCUGUGGCAACAAGUUGGCGCUGCUUAUAAUAUUGGAAUCUUCCAUUGGCGGGCUACUGAGUCCGCAAAGAAACUGGCCAGAGAAUGGAAAGAAAUGAUUUUAGCUGACGACAAGAUAUGGGAUCAGAAUGGUUUCAAUGAACUUGUGCGCAGACAGUUGGGACCUUCUGUUGAUGAUGACAGUGGGCUCGUCUAUGCUUAUGAUGGAAAUCUCAAACUUGGUCUUCUCCCGGCAAGUAUUUUUUGCAGUGGGCAUACCUAUUUCGUCCAGGCUAUGUUUCAACAUCUAAGACUGGAGGCUUAUGCUGUACAUACAACAUUCCAAUAUGCUGGAACAGAAGGAAAGCGUCACCGAUUACGUGAAGCCAUGGUGUUCUAUGAUCCACCCGAAUACUAUAAUCCACCAGGAGGGCUUUUGACUUUUAAGCCGUCAAUCCCCAAGAACUUAUUACUGGAUGGAGAGCACACCAUAGAUACACACUUCACUCUUGUUAAUUAUCAGAUGAAACAAAUAAGGACUGCGCUUGCUGUUGCUUCAGUGCUGAAUCGUACCUUGGUAAUGCCGCCACUAUGGUGCAGGUUGGAUAGGUUGUGGUUUGGACAUCCUGGUAUUCUUCCGGGUUCUUUGACAAGGCCACCUUUUGUUUGUCCUCUGGAUCAUGUUUUUGAGAUUAAUGUGAUGUUGAAGGAAAUGGCAAAUGAGGAAUUUGGACCUGGGAUCAAUAUCAGGGAGUACUCACUAUUUGAAAAUCCAUCAAUGCCGCAAGAGGUUAAAGAGUCAUGGCUUGAUGUACAUCUCUGCCAAGAAGGGUCACCGGGCUGUCAGGUUAACAGUACGAGUCAAAGUGGGGCUCUCAAACUUCCCAAACAUAGUACAGAAGAAACGUUGAAGACGGUAUUCUCCAAGUUUAAGGAUGUGAAAGUAAUCCAGUUCUCAACAAUGCAAGAUGCCUUUGAUCGAUUUACUGACAAGACAAGGGAAGAACAAUUCAGGAAUCGUGUCAAGAGGUAUGUAGGCAUUUGGUGUUGUGUGGAAAAUCACACACCAGGUCACAUAUACUAUGAUAUGUAUUGGGAUGAGAAACCUGGCUGGAAAGCAGCUCCUCCUAACUCUACAGUAGACGAUCAUCCGCCUUGGUGAGGCCCUUGGACUCCAUUACCCUCAGAGAAGUGUGAAAAGAAAUGCUAUAACACCUUGCAAUUCAAGAGGGAUGUACCAUUGUUUCAUAGAGAAAUGUACUUUUUCAAUCUAUAGAGUUGGUAUGAAGGAUUAGUCCUCCAUUAGAAUAGAACAUAUAUGCUUCUUUUUUUUGUGUCCAAGCAAAAAAUUUUGAUUGUUCCAACAUGAAAGAAGUACAAAAUAAUGGAAGUGUAUAAUUUUGAUUUGAG
rnacentral:misc_RNA from 1 species